AGAAAACGCAAUCUGGAGCUCUUGGUAAUAAGCUAUUCUCCCUUCUUCCCAAUUCUUGUUACCCAGAAAAGGGGGGAAAAUCAUACCUUCAUUCCAAGAAGCUCUUAUAAUUAAAAAAAAAAAAAUGAUUUCGGAGUUUUUUUUUAAUAGUUAGUUUCAAGGUUUUUGUUAAUAUAUAUAUAUUGAAAAAAUUAAUCCUUAGUUUCAAGGAUUUUGUUAACAUUUUUUUACAAUUAGCUUUGGCUGGGACUCCAUUGCGUUAAAUAAAUCCAUCCAGUUGUGUUUCUUUGAUAAUAAUAUCAGAGUACAUAAAUCUACCAAAAAAAAAAAAAAAUUAGAGUA
rnacentral:misc_RNA from 1 species